GAAGAGUCAUGAAAAUUAAAAAACAUGGUUUUAAAAGAGUAAAAUAAUUUAAAAAAAACCCUACUUGUAUAAAUUUGUAAAACACCAUAAAUACCUUUAAUAUGUCCUAAUUGUGUGCUUACAGAUACUUUGAAAAGUGCUGCUGUUCACCUAUAAAAUACUGCUUCUCUAUUCAGGAAUGUGCUUCUUCCUUCUUAGAAGCUAUUACAUCACGUAACUGUGUAUGGUUACCAGAGCCAAGUAUGUAAAUCUUCACACAACGGAAUGCACACCCACGGAACCGAACUGCCAACAAAUUAGGACCAGUUGACCCAAUGACUAAGAGAAAAGCAGUAAAGGAUACAUAAAGAUAGUUGAUCAACAACUCUCAAAUGUAAAGGCUGUGACAGAAUCAUAAAGGUCAGAGUUAAAUCUCAUCAUUACAAAAUCAUCCAACGUAUUACUCUGACUUUCCUGAUACCUGUCCCUUCUCAUAAGACUUUAAAGAGUGUAGUACACAAGGAAGCUUUAUCAACUCAGCCUCUUACAGCAGCCUGGCCAACUAAAGAGUUCUUGGAUGAGUGGCUGAACCAAUGUGGGAAGAGGCAACAUCAUCACUCUGGAGUUCUUAAUCCUGUUAUUUCAAGAAAAUAAUUUCUUAAGAUGCUACAAGUUAAAGAUCUGCUUAAAUAAGAUGUUAAAACAUAGUCAUGUGGAACAGCCCACUCAGGUUAUUUUACCUGCUGCUGAAUGCUUACUUUGGAAGAUAGUCAAUAAUUUUAAAGGUAGCCCAAACAUCAUUCCUUUCCUUUUUUUUCCCUACCCAAUUCACCUGGAAAGAUCCUCCUUGCCUUUCACAUCUUUGACUUUUUUCAUAUAUAUAUAUACCCUAUAAAUUAAAAAGCAGAUUUGGCUAUAAGAGUUAGAAAGAUUUGACCACUGUAACACACAUUAUUGUAUCAACUAAUGACUUUCACACUGUCUCCAUCUGUUUUCUUUCCUGUGUCUCAGUGGUUUUGUCUAAUUCAUUCAAAAGAUGUUAAAAAAAAAAUCACUGGAGUAGGAGCAUGGGAAAACAUUUUAAAUAUGACUGCUCGUGACUUAACUGCACAAGAGUCCUGCCUACAAGAGCAAGUGGCAAUUAGAAGUUGUUGUAAUCCCCUA